rnacentral:rRNA from 1 species
AUUGAACGCUGGCGGCAUGCUUUACACAUGCAGGUCGAACGGCAGCACGGGCUUCGGCCUGGUGGCGAGUGGCGAACGGGUGAGUAAUAUAUCGGAACGUACCCAGAAGUGGGGGAUAACGUAGCGAAAGUUACGCUAAUACCGCAUACGAUCUAUGGAUGAAAGCAGGGGACCGCAAGGCCUUGUGCUCCUGGAGCGGCCGAUAUCUGAUUAGCUAGUUGGUGAGGUAAAGGCUCACCAAGGCGACGAUCAGUAGCUGGUCUGAGAGGACGACCAGCCACACUGGAACUGAGACACGGUCCAGACUCCUACGGGAGGCAGCAGUGGGGAAUUUUGGACAAUGGGCGCAAGCCUGAUCCAGCAAUGCCGCGUGAGUGAAGAAGGCCUUCGGGUUGUAAAGCUCUUUUGUCAGGGAAGAAACGGUAGAGGCUAAUAUCCUUUGCUAAUGACGGUACCUGAAGAAUAAGCACCGGCUAACUACGUG